AGAGUUUGAUCAUGGCUCAGGACGAACGCUGGCGGCGUGCCUAAUACAUGCAAGUCGAGCGGAUCUCUAGGAGCUUGCUCCUGUUGAUUAGCGGCGGACGGGUGAGUAACACGUGGGCAACCUGCCUGUAAGUCUGGGAUAACACCGGGAAACCGGUGCUAAUACCGGAUAAUCCUUUUCCUCUCAUGAGGAAAAGCUGAAAGUCGGUUUCGGCUGACACUUACAGAUGGGCCCGCGGCGCAUUAGCUAGUUGGUGAGGUAACGGCUCACCAAGGCGACGAUGCGUAGCCGACCUGAGAGGGUGAUCGGCCACACUGGGACUGAGACACGGCCCAGACUCCUACGGGAGGCAGCAGUAGGGAAUCUUCCACAAUGGACGAAAGUCUGAUGGAGCAACGCCGCGUGAGCGAUGAAGGCCUUCGGGUCGUAAAGCUCUGUUGUUAGGGAAGAACAAGUACCGGAGUAACUGCCGGUACCUUGACGGUACCUAACCAGAAAGCCACGGCUAACUACGUGCCAGCAGCCGCGGUAAUACGUAGGUGGCAAGCGUUGUCCGGAAUUAUUGGGCGUAAAGCGCGCGCAGGCGGUCCUUUAAGUCUGAUGUGAAAGCCCACGGCUCAACCGUGGAGGGUCAUUGGAAACUGGGGGACUUGAGUGCAGAAGAGGAAAGCGGAAUUCCACGUGUAGCGGUGAAGUGCGUAGAGAUGUGGAGGAACACCAGUGGCGAAGGCGGCUUUCUGGUCUGUAACUGACGCUGAGGCGCGAAAGCGUGGGGAGCAAACAGGAUUAGAUACCCUGGUAGUCCACGCCGUAAACGAUGAGUGCUAAGUGUUAGGGGGUUUCCGCCCCUUAGUGCUGCAGCUAACGCAUUAAGCACUCCGCCUGGGGGAGUACGGGCCGCAAGGC
rnacentral:rRNA from 1 species